rnacentral:misc_RNA from 1 species
GAACGCACAUUGCGCCCGCUAGUAUUCUGGCGGGCAUGCCUGUCCGAGCGUCAUUUCAACCCUCAAGCCCCUCCGGGGGCCUGGCGUUGGGGAUCGGCCCCGCUCCGGCGGCCGGCCCCGAAAUGUAGUGGCGGUCUCGCCGCUGCCUCCUCUGCGUAGUAGAAACACCUCGCAUUGGGACGCGGCGGGCCCACGCCGUUAACCAGAUGAAUUUUUUCAAGGUUGACCUCGGAUCAGGUAGGAAUACCCGCUGAACUUAAG